CCUACGGGAGGCAGCAGUGAGGAAUAUUGGUCAAUGGACGAGAGUCUGAACCAGCCAAGUAGCGUGAAGGAUGACUGCCCUAUGGGUUGUAAACUUCUUUUAUAUGGGAAUAAAAUGUUCCACGUGUGGGUUUUUGUAUGUACCAUAUGAAUAAGGAUCGGCUAACUCCGUGCCAGCAGCCGCGGUAAUACGGAGGAUCCGAGCGUUAUCCAGAUUUAUUGGGUUUAAAGGGAGCGUAGGUGGAUUGUUAAGUCAGUUGUGAAAGUUUGCGGCUCAACCGUAAAAUUGCAGUUGAAACUGGCAGUCUUGAGUACAGUAGAGGUAGGCGGAAUUCGUGGUGUAGCGGUGAAAUGCUUAGAUAUCACGAAGAACUCCGAUUGCGAAGGCAGCUCACUGGACUGCAACUGACACUGAGGCUCGAAAGUGUGGGUAUCAAACAGGAUUAGAUACCCUUGUAGUC
rnacentral:rRNA from 1 species